CCAGCUCCAAGAGUGUAUAUUAAAGUUGUUGCAGUUGAAAGGCUCGUAGUCGGAAGGCGGGGCGGUGGAUGCAGAGCAGGGAGACCUGGAUCUGGAUCUGGCGCCCUUCGGGGGGGACAUGACAGUCCCCCCCCGUUACUGUGAGGAAAUUAGAGUGUUCAAGGCAGGCGUGUGCUUGGAUAGGUUAGCAUGGAAUAACGGGAUGGUCCGUUGGUUGGAGCGUAGGUUGAUAGGGACAGUUGGGGGCAUUGGUAUUUGGCAUUCAGAGGUGAAAUUCUAGGAUUUGCUGAACACGGACGGGGGCGAAAGCAUUUGCCAAGGAUGUUUUCAUUGAUCAGGAACGAAAGUUGGGGGAUCGAAAACGAUUAAAUACCGUCGUAUUCUCUACAGUAAACCAUGCCGGCGGGGCGUGGGGGGGCCGAAGGCGGAUCUUCCGCGCCCUGGAGAAAUCAGAGCGUGUGGGUUCUGGGGGGAGUAUGGUCGCAAGGCAGAAACUUGAAGGAAUUGACGGAAGGGCACCACCAGGAGUGGAGCCUGCGGCUUAAUUCGACUCAAC
rnacentral:rRNA from 1 species